GAUGAACGCUGGCGGCGUGCUUAAUACAUGCAAGUCGAACGAAGACAGUAGCAAUAUUGUCUGAGUGGCGAACGGGUGAGUAACGCGUUGGUGACCUGCCCCGAAGAGAGGGAUAACAGUCCGAAAGGAUUGCUAAUACCCCAUGUGGUCGUUUAGAUUAGAAGCUUUGCGACUAAACGGAUUUAUUCGCUUCGGGAGGGGCCUGCGUCCCAUCAGCUAGUUGGUAGGGUAAUAGCCUACCAAGGCGAUGACGGGUAGGGGACCUGAGAGGGUGGCCCCCCACAAUGGAACUGAAACACGGUCCAUACACCUACGGGUGGCAG
rnacentral:rRNA from 1 species